CUUCCGUAGGAGUGCGGGUGUGCGUGCGUGCCGCGGAAAUCCCGCCUUCUGGCACCUGCGGUUGCCCCCUGGCCUCAGCCGGUGGGCUCCCAAGUAGGAAGAUAAACCGCAUUGCAGGAAGCGGGAGAGUCCGGAGGAGCGGCGAAGCGCUCCUCUUCCCCAUUGGCUGCGCCCACGGAGCCGCCUUGCGAUUGGCCCUAAGCGCGGGUGGCGGGGGUCGGGAGAGGCGUCAGGAUCCCUGGCGCCGCCUGAGCCAGCGGCUGCUAGGAGGCUGUGUCCGCAAGCCAGCGGGGCGAGGCGGCUGGGCCCUGCGCGUCAGGUCCCGGCCUGGGGCACCGGGGCUGCCAGCGUCGGAGGAGGCCUGAGAACUGGGAGGAAGCUGGAGAAAAGAUGCCCUCUGAAUCUUUGUGUUUGGCUGCCCAGGCUCGCCUUGACACCGAAUGGUUGAAAACAGAUAUACAGAUGAUAGUGUCGAACCAAGUGGAACAAAGAAAGAAGAUCUGAAUGACAAAGAGAAAAAAGAUGAAGACGAAACUCCUGCACCUGUAUAUAGGGCCAAGUCAAUUCUGGAGACCUGGGUGUGGGUCAAGCAACCAGGUAAUCUUCUGAGUUUUGGCAUUUUGGAAAGCUUGAUCUGACGCUCCUUUUCUAAAUAACUUG
rnacentral:lncRNA from 1 species